rnacentral:rRNA from 1 species
UACGGAGGAUGCAAGCGUUAUCCGGAAUGAUUGGGCGUAAAGCGUCCGCAGGUGGCUGUGUAAGUCUGCUGUCAAAGAGCAAAGCUCAACUUUGUAAAGGCAGUGGAAACUACACGGCUAGAGUGCGUUCGGGGCAGAGGGAAUUCCUUGUGUAGCGGUGAAAUGCGUAGAGAUCAGGAAGAACACCGGUGGCGAAGGCGCUCUGCUAGGCCGCAACUGACACUGAGGGACGAAAGCUAGGGGAGCGAAUGGG